rnacentral:rRNA from 1 species
UACGGGGGGAGCAAGCGUUGUUCGGAUUUACUGGGCGUAAAGGGCGCGUAGGCGGCUUGGCAAGUGGAAGGUGAAAUCCCUCGGCUUAACCGAGGAACUGCCCUCCAAACUGCUUUGCUUGAGGCCGGGAGAGGCGAGUGGAAUUCCCAGUGUAGCGGUGAAAUGCGUAGAUAUUGGGAGGAACACCAGUGGCGAAGGCGGCUCGCUGGACCGGUUCUGACGCUGAGGCGCGAAAGCGUGGGGAGCAAACGGG